UCUAUGGAUUUUUGACAACCACUAGUGUCUCUCUAAGUUCUUGCAUUUUCUUUCAUUUACUCACAAGCCAAACACCACCAUUUUUGCAUACCACCUAGGAACCACUCACUAUCUUUCAAGUAGGAGUUCGUCUCUUGAAGAUUUUUGCUACUAUUAAUCGUUGGACUUUUUUGUGACAGGUGCUCUAGAUCCUAUAGAAUCAUGAACUUAGAUGGCUCCAUGUUAGAGGACGAGUAUACCGUGGAGGGUCGUCAUUCCUUUACGACAUAUGUUUUGAAGUAUACAGCCUCAUUUUUUAGGGAGAUACUAGUUAGCAUUAGUGAUUCUAAGAUUGAUUCUACAAUUACCAGCUCACAGGGGGUUUAUUGGUGUUUGACUCCGGAUGGGGCCGUGGUGAUGAGGAACAUGAGAUCUUAAGACCUUUUGAUAGAAAGACUAUGACUUGUGGUUUAUUUUGAAAAUAGUAUUUUAAUGGUCCCUUUGUCUUGGUAGUUGUUUUAAAACAAUUAUCUAUUUUUGAGAAGUUUAGUUAUGGAAGUUUACAUUU